rnacentral:miRNA from 1 species
AUGCAUGGGUGCAUGUGCAUGUGUGUGUGCCCCCCCCAUACACACACACACAAAUCAGAUGCAUGAGCACCAAACUCACUC